rnacentral:rRNA from 1 species
GCCCCGGCCCCUUCCGUAAAGGGGGACUGCGGAGGGAUCAUUACCGAGUUAUACAACUCCCAAACCCACUGUGAACCUUACCUCAGUUGCCUCGGCGGGAACGCCCCGGCCGCCUGCCCCCGCGCCGGCGCCGGACCCAGGCGCCCGCCGCAGGGACCCCAAACUCUCUUGCAUUACGCCCAGCGGGCGGAAUUUCUUCUCUGAGUUGCACAAGCAAAAACAAAUGAAUCAAAACUUUCAACAACGGAUCUCUUGGUUCUGGCAUCGAUGAAGAACGCAGCGAAAUGCGAUAAGUAAUGUGAAUUGCAGAAUUCAGUGAAUCAUCGAAUCUUUGAACGCACAUUGCGCCCGCCAGCAUUCUGGCGGGCAUGCCUGUUCGAGCGUCAUUUCAACCCUCGAGCCCCCCCGGGGGCCUCGGUGUUGGGGGACGGCACACCAGCCGCCCCCGAAAUGCAGUGGCGACCCCGCCGCAGCCUCCCCUGCGUAGUAGCACACACCUCGCACCGGAGCGCGGAGGCGGUCACGCCGUAAAACGCCCAACUUUCUUAGAGUUGACCUCGGAUCAGGUAGGAAUACCCGCUGAACUUAAGCAUAUCAAAAGCCGGGAAGAAAUCUUUUCAAAUAU